AUUGAACGCUGGCGGUAUGCCUUACACAUGCAAGUCGAACGGCAGCACGGGUGCUUGCACCUGGUGGCGAGUGGCGAACGGGUGAGUAAUACAUCGGAACAUGUCCUGUAGUGGGGGUUAGCCCGGCGAAAGCCGGAUUAAUACCGCAUACGAUCUACGGAUGAAAGCGGGGGACCUUCGGGCCUCGCGCUAUAGGGUUGGCCGAUGGCUGAUUAGCUAGUUGGUGGGGUAAAGGCCUACCAAGGCGACGAUCAGUAGCUGGUCUGAGAGGACGACCAGCCACACUGGGACUGAGACACGGCCCAGACUCCUACGGGAGGCAGCAGUGGGGAAUUUUGGACAAUGGGCGAAAGCCUGAUCCAGCAAUGCCGCGUGUGUGAAGAAGGCCUUCGGGUUGUAAAGCACUUUUGUCCGGAAAGAAAUCCUUUGCCCUAAUACGGUCGGGGGAUGACGGUACCGGAAGAAUAAGCACCGGCUAACUACGUG
rnacentral:rRNA from 1 species